CACCGAGGUUUUAUCAGUCAGUUCAAAUUUCCCGCGCGCAGGCUCAUAAGGCAUGCUGGUUAACAUAAUUUCUGAAUAGGCCAAACAAGCUGUGCGAGGCCAGGUCAUCACUGAACUUUUCUUGACUUCCAGAAAAGAAACUGUAAGAGCUACGUGCAUCUGUGUGAAUGGAGAGGACAGACAAAGCAAAAGUGCUAAGAAGGGAAUGGGAGAUGGAGAAGAAGGAGAACGGGAAGGUGCCGCAAGAAGACUGUCCAAGGAGAACUCCGCUGCUCUGCAUGGCAUUUUGCAUUGAAUUUAAGACCAUACUCCCUCCUUCCGGUGUAGACUGUAGACGGCCCACUGCGGGGACCCAGCUCUGAGAGGCAGCCUGGCCAGGGCUUCUCCCAGAGCCACUUGCUCAAUUUGUUGUGGAGGGAACCCACCUGCGGUUAUACUUGCAGUUAUGUGCUGCUGUCUUGGAAAGUGGGAGAAAGUGAUUUUUCUUAAAGGGAUAACCUAAUGCCACUGCACCCGGAUUGCUCCUUUUGUGCUGGGCUCCAGGUCCUCAAGGGGUUAAAUACUGCCACCUUGUAGAUCUGGAAUUGCUGAAAUUCCUACCUUCUCCCUCCAUUUUAUUGGCCUUGUUGACAUGGGCCCAUGCUGU